GGCUCGCAGGCGGUUUCUUAAGUCUGAUGUGAAAGCCCCCGGCUCAACCGGGGAGGGUCAUUGGAAACUGGGAAACUUGAGUGCAGAAGAGGAGAGUGGAAUUCCACGUGUAGCGGUGAAAUGCGUAGAGAUGUGGAGGAACACCAGUGGCGAAGGCGACUCUCUGGUCUGUAACUGACGCUGAGGAGCGAAAGCGUGGGGAGCGAACAGGAUUAGAUACCCUGGUAGUCCACGCCGUAAACGAUGAGUGCUAAGUGUUAGGGGGUUUCCGCCCCUUAGUGCUGCAGCUAACGCAUUAAGCACUCCGCCUGGGGAGUACGGUCGCAAGACUGAAACUCAAAGGAAUU
rnacentral:rRNA from 1 species